UAUUGUCGCCUAGAAGCCUGUUCACAGAUACGUCCAUACACCUUGCACCAUCUCCAGCUCACCUUCAGCAUCACAUGCAGUAGAUUUCCUUCCCAGUGAGUUCCAGCAUCACUUUAACAGGAAGGAGUCCUGUGUAAAAUCCGUUUGUUUAUGUAAAGCCUGCCUGAUGGGCCUUCACAUCCCCCUUGGAUGAUUGAAAGCCCCUAUUAUCACUAGCAGACCAGGCUGGUGAUUUGGAAAGAAAUUCCAGUGAUGCCCUGUGUGCCUCCUCCUUGCAGCUCUUGCUGGUGAAUGUGCUGUUCACAUGGUUUCAUUGAGCAAAGCCAGCGCGUCUUGGUACCUCCUAGAGUUUGGAGAAAACAGGCCUGAGGAGAUUAAAGUGAGAAGCUGUAUGAGGAAUGCUGCUUCAGGAGCUGUGUGAGGAAGGCUGCUUCAGAAAUGAGGAACCACUCCUAAAAUUAACCAUUUGGGAGAUGUGGGCAUUAUCACAGCGUAUCCUUCCUGACUGGCUUCAUGACAUCUCUGAGUUCCAGUUCCCUGCUCUGUAUGGCUGGGAUAAUGAUCGCAUUUUAUCAGUUCAGCCCCUGCGAGUGAAGAGAGAGACCACAGCAGAUCGCGCUGUGGUAAACCACUGUGUCUGGAGACUACUUGAAGGACUUUGAAGUGGGAAUGGGAGGGGGGAGUAUGUGAAUCUGUUGAAAAUAAGGUAAGAGAGUAGUCAAAGUAAUUAUUUGGGGAAAUAAAGAUC